rnacentral:rRNA from 1 species
UACGUAGGGUGCGAGCGUUGUCCGGAAUUAUUGGGCGUAAAGGGCUCGUAGGCGGUUUGUCGCGUCGGGAGUGAAAACAUCCAGCUUAACUGGGUGCUUGCUUUCGAUACGGGCAGACUAGAGGUAUGCAGGGGAGAACGGAAUUCCUGGUGUAGCGGUGAAAUGCGCAGAUAUCAGGAGGAACACCGGUGGCGAAGGCGGUUCUCUGGGCAUGACCUGACGCUGAGGAGCGAAAGUGUGGGGAGCGAACAGG